GGCGAAACGGGUGANUAAUGCAUCGGAACAUGUCCAUGUCGUGGGGGAUAGCCCGGCGAAAGCCGGAUUAAUACCGCAUACGCCCGAGAGGGGAAAGCCGGGGACCGCAAGGCCUGGCGCGAUUGGGUUGGCCGAUGCCCGAUUAGCUUGUUGGUGAGGUAAAGGCUCACCAAGGCGAUGAUCGGUAGCUGGUCUGAGAGGAUGAUCAGCCACACUGGGACUGAGACACGGCCCAGACUCCUACGGGAGGCAGCAGU
rnacentral:rRNA from 1 species